ACGUCUCCUUUUAUUCGUCUGCGUUACUGUAGCUACGAGGGAAGGGAUAAGGUCUCGAGUGCUCGCUUCCUCCGGCCGCCUCCUUCUCUUCCUCUUCCUCUUCCUCUCCCUCGGUGUAGCCCCUCCACCUCCCUCCUCCAUCGACGGCGCCUGGUCCAGAUGGGGCUCAUCUCGUCUCCAUGGAGAGCAGGGGUGGACAAUGGGAAGCGGUGGGGAGAAGCGAGCGGCAGCCGGCAGGGAGAGCCACGACGGGGUGGGCAGUGGGAAGCGGUGGGGAGAAGCGAGCGCCUGCCGGCAGGGAGAGCCACGACGAUGGUCGGCGUCAGCUGCCACUUCCUCCCCCCGCCGGCACCGCGAGGCCGCCGAGCCCGCGCCCGAGCUUCCCGUCCGUGAGCGGUCACUCCGCCCACCGGCCGUCCCCCGUCUGUGUGCUUCUUCUCGGGACGCCGACGCCAUGGAGCUCAUCAAGCUCCCUCUCUGCUGCAGGAGGAUUGGAUCGGAUUGGUUUCUACAUGCUCUAUUAUCUGUUUGAGAACCGAGUUGCGGCCCUCCAAAUCUUCAGCCCCAGAAGGAGGAUUUGAGAGUGGAGAAGGGUCAACUGAAUGUGAUUUGGAGGAAGGAGUUGUCCAGGAAUCAAAAUGUUAUUAUUCUACUAUUCUGCAGGGGAGAAUCUAAAGAUUAUUUGUUUCUUUUUAUGCCUGCAGAUCGCGUUUAGUGUUUGGGAUUCACAUCCUACAUUGAUAAGGUCUGAAUUUAACAUCCACUUUUAACACUGGGAUCCUCAAGUGUUUCAGUUCGUACUUUGCCGACGUACAAUCUAUUGGCCACAUUUUCUAGCACACUCAUUCCAACUAAAGUCAGCUCCUGCUUGCACUUCUCCACUGAGUGAAUACUAAUAGUUCUAAAAAGAUAAACCACCCAUAGAAUUGGUUCUAAUUAGAUCCUCUGAAAGAUGCAAGCAGCUAGAGUACCUUAGUCCAUAGGAGUCCUGCAACUGGUUCAGAAGUUCUUGAGUAAACUGGAUCAGUGAGAAUAUUAAUUGAGUCGCUGCUCGAGAAACAAAAUAGAAUAACGACAGCGUAGCUAAUACCAUUUGUCUGUGCAUGAUGUAUUUUGAUCUCAAGUGCAUUUGAAUGGCUUGAUUUUUGCAGAGAUCUUGUCACCUGCGCCCUUGUUUGGUCGUACAUAAAACUGUCAUCUUGCUUUAAAGUCAAGUGGUCAGGUCUUUGAUAGUACGCAUGGCUGAACCCACCUUUUGUUGAAUUUGGGAACCGUCUAAUAUAGCUAUUUUUUAAGAAGGAGCUUGAACAGAUCUCAGUAUAUGUUAAUUUUGUAGAACUAAAGGUUAGCACAGAAUUGUAUGGUUUUAUUUUCUGGGUCAAAAGCUUGAUUCAUGCAGUACAUUCUCUAAUUCUCGAUACAUUUCAGUAUUCAAUUUUUUCAUUAACAAUACAAAAUAGUCAUCUUGCUUCAGAUUCAAGUGACCAGGUCGGUGUCGGCCUGCCCAUAGCGCCUCCACUCCAUCCCCCUCUGCGUCACUCCUACCACCGCUCGAGGCCAUGGCCAUGAUGCCGCCGGUGGAGUAUUAUUUUUCUACGUUUUAUCCAUGUGGAUCUAACCUUACAUCUACUGGCCAACCUUUUGAUGAAGUAAACAUUUACAACUCUGUUGUGGCUUGUGAUUUACUUAUCUGACUUUUUUCAUUAUUUGUUGCUUUUACAGGCUGUAAUUGUGCCUGACUGACUAGAUCACCACAUGCAGACUAUUCAUUCCCUGCCAAACUGCACAUGCUAGCUACUAUUUGAAGAUGACGUUGUAAAAAAAUGCAUAAUCUGGGGAUGGCAUGGUGAUGCUGCUGGUCGAGAAGUACCAUCCCAUUCUUUCCUUACCUGCCAAUGCUUCCUCCUGCCUUGCCAGCCACGCGUGUCCUCACCUUUGUUCAUCAAUUCGUGUGCAGGUAUGAAUCGGUGAUGUUUUUGACGCCCAUAGAGCCAUUACCUCGUGCAUGUGUAUUUUGUGUGCCAGUUUACCAGUUAGUGAGUGAUAAUGUCCGUAUGAAUGUUUCAUCGUUUAGCAAGUGAUCAGCAACAGGCAUCUCUUACUUUUGGAUUGAAGUGCAGAUCUUGCUAAAGAGAUGACCAUGGAGUCAUUUAUGUAUUCUUAUGCCCCAAUGCUUCAUUAAUUAUUCUUAUUAUGCAAUAUAAAAUUAUUUCUUACCGUCUUCUAUUGUUUCCUCUGAUUUUCUCAGUUAUUCAGAGAACACCACAUGUUACAUGAAUUCUAGACUACUUUCCUAGAGGUAGUUGUUAGAAUCAUCUUCUUGAAUUUGCAUGCUUAGCAUCUAAUAUUUCACACUCGCAAAUUGUAAUAUCUCACGCUUACCAAUUUUUAGAAUCAGGUUCUUGAGUUUGCAUGCUUAACCGUGUCCCUGUGCAAUUGCUCACCAACCUCGCCAAUUGUGAGUUUGUCCCACAUAGUGGAGUUUCUGUGAGUUUUUGUAGUCUAUAAAUUCUUGGAAAUUCUCUUGUUGCUGCUAUAAUGUGGGUGUGUUCGGCUUCCUUCUUCAUUUAAGGUGAAUCCUUGCUUCCAGGUUGGCCUAUGAAAUGAUGUAGUUUCUGCUGGAAAAUAAGUUGUUAUGCAAUUAUAGUUAGGUUGCCAAUUUUCCUUCAUAACUGCAUUUAAUGGGUAGCUGUUAUGCUCACUUUGCUCAAAGAAAGGUUGUCUUGCCAUGCUACUUUGUGCUUUAAGAAAUAGGCUGACACCAAACCAGUAAUCCUGGACUUCUGCUUUGUUGGCCGAAAGUUACUAAUUUUGUUUUUCUUGUUAUCUUUAGCCAUUCCAAAACAUUUAUCUGGUUUUGUAGAAUUACUGACCAUAGAAUUAUAGCCGGCCAUAUUUUUGAAUGCGUGAACCUCACAUAGAUAUCAUGCUAAUGUAGUUUGACGGAAGUCGUAAAACCAAUGGAUAGGCAUCGUCUUCUGCUAAGGUUCCUUUCACCCUUCUUUAGAACCCAACAAGAAUUCAUCAAAAAAUUAAAGAUCUUGGUUGGUGAUUCGUUUCAAUGGCCGGUAUAGUAAGGCUACAUUAAUUAUCAAAUUAUUCUUCAUUUCUUUUUGCCUGCCCUUGUUUAACAACCUAAUACUGAUUGAUCAGGUAUAUUGCAAUGAGUGCUUACUUAUGGUUUGUCCCCUGUUAUUUUUUGAUUCCAGUCUUCAUACUUUCAGACACCUUCGAUAUAUAUAGGAAGAAGAAAGUAUUCGCUCCAGACGAAGAUGUCUAGCUUGCCUGUGUGCUGUAACAUUAAUCAGUGCAUCGGGCCCAACGAUUUCUAUCAUUGGAACCUUGAUGAUUUAUCUCAUUUCAACGUAAUCUAACCCCUCUGAUUUUUGUCAGUACAUGAUUGUAUGCCUCCUAUGCCCGCUUAAUUGUGUGUUCAUUUUGUUAAUCAAGAAACAUCUGAUUUUAUGGCUGGCGUGCUGCUCCAGCGCGACCGCUUCGUGUGUUGCCUCGAGUCGCGUGGCCACUACUCUCUCGCCGAGGCGGAGGCAGCUUCCACUCUCGACGCCCUCCGUUGCGCGCUCUCGCAGGCGGCGUUUGCAAAGCCUUGUCACGGCGCUGCAAGUGUUGCCCCCCUCCUCCCCAAGGGCAAGGUGAAGGAAGGUGCCUGUGUGGUUCUUCUGCAGCUCGCGGCAAGGAUUGUUGUGUCCAACCUACACAAGAAUGCCAAGAAGUCCUUCUCGGAGAUGAUUAAGGACAUGUACCUCCACUACAAUGGGAGAUCUGGGCUGCUUCUUUGUGGCUUCCAAACUUGAAAUGUUUGUUUGAAAGUUAGUUUAGUUUUUUGUUGUGGAUUCACAGCUUCUCACAUGUACCAUCCUCUUAGACCUUUAGAUUUCUAAAGAAACUAAAUGAAGAUAUGGUGGUAUGGUCUCAAUAGUACAACUUAAAGCCUUCCAUGCUUUAUAUUUUCUUUAAAAUUUUCUCUUGAAAAAUCAUGUAUCUAUGUUAGAUCCGGUGAGAAAAGGCGGCUUCCAAGCA